AGAUGUGUGGACCAUCUGGCUGUAACAUCCAUCACCCCACUGAUCACCAAGGUUGAUUCAGCUGCUCUGGCUGGCUGGGAGGGGGGUGUCCCCUUCCUCCCUCACCACUCCAUAUGUGUCCCUCCUGAAGCUGCACAAUGUCUGCAGAGGAGGACUGUUCGUUGGGUCAAGGGUAUAGGAGUAGCUACGCUCCUCUGCUAGACCUCCACACAGGCUCUCAAGGUCCGUUUGCAAAUGACUAAACCACCACUAAUAUGGAGUUUCACUUUCACUAAAGUUUUAAACAAAAACAUCUUAAU
rnacentral:snRNA from 1 species